UUAGCCCUAAACCUCAGUAGUUAAACCAACAAAACUACUCGCCAGAAUACUACAAGCAACCGCUUGAAACUCAAAGGACUUGGCGGUGCUUCACCCCCCUAGAGGAGCCUGUCCCAUAAUCGAUAAACCCCGAUCCACCCUACCCUCUCUUGCUCAGCCUAUAUACCGCCAUCUUCAGCAAACCCUGAUAAAGGUCACAAAGUGAGCGCAAGUACCCCUUUUCGCAAAAACGUUAGGUCAAGGUGUAGCCUAUGAGACGGAAAAAGAUGGGCUACAUUUUCUAUCCUAGAAAACCCACGAUAACUCUCAUGAAACCUAAGAGUCCAAGGAGGAUUUAGCAGUAAAUUAAGAAUAGAGUGCUUAAUUGAACAAGGCCAUAAAGCACGC
rnacentral:rRNA from 1 species